UACGGAGGAGGCAAGCGUUAUCCGGAAUUAUUGGGCGUAAAGCGUCCGCAGGUGGCACUUCAAGUCUGUCGUCAAAGACUGGGGCUUAACCCUGGAAAGCCGGUGGAUACUGUCGGGCUAGAGUGCGGAAGAGGCGAGUGGAAUUCCUGGUGUAGCGGUGAAAUGCGUAGAUAUCUGGAGGAAUACCGGUGGCGAAGGCGGCAUCCUGGACCGACAUUGACGCUGAUGAGCGAAAGCUAGGGGAGCAAACGGG
rnacentral:rRNA from 1 species